rnacentral:rRNA from 1 species
AUUGAACGCUGGCGGCAGGCCUAACACAUGCAAGUCGCACGAGUGGCGGACGGGUGAGUACUGUCUGGGAACCUGCCUGAUGGAGGGGGAUAACUACUGGAAACGGUAGCUAAUACCGCAUACCAUCGGAUGUGCCCAGAUGGGAUUAGCUAGUCGGUGGGGUAACGGCUCACCCAGGCGACGAUCCCUAGCUGGUCUGAGAGGAUGACCAGCAACACGGGAACUGAGACACGGUCCAGACUCCGACGGGAGGCAGCAGUGGGGAAUAUUGCACAAUGGGCGCAAGCCUGAUGCAGCCAUGCCGCGGGUAUGAAGAAGGCCUUCGGGUUGUAAAGUACUUUCGGCGGGGAGGCGUUACCCGCAGAAGAAGCACCGGCUAACUACGUGCCAGCCGCCGCGGUAAUUC